rnacentral:rRNA from 1 species
CCUACGGGUGGCAGCAGUGGGGAAUAUUGGACAAUGGGCGAAAGCCUGAUCCAGCCAUGCCGCGUGUGUGAAGAAGGCCUUCGGGUUGUAAAGCACUUUCAGUGGGGAAGAAAGCCUUGGGGCUAAUACCCUCGAGGAAGGACAUCACCCACAGAAGAAGCACCGGCUAACUCCGUGCCAGCAGCCGCGGUAAUACGGAGGGUGCGAGCGUUAAUCGGAAUUACUGGGCGUAAAGCGCGCGUAGGCGGUCUGAUAAGCCGGUUGUGAAAGCCCCGGGCUCAACCUGGGAACGGCAUCCGGAACUGUCAGGCUAGAGUGCAGGAGAGGAAGGUAGAAUUCCCGGUGUAGCGGUGAAAUGCGUAGAGAUCGGGAGGAAUACCAGUGGCGAAGGCGGCCUUCUGGACUGACACUGACGCUGAGGUGCGAAAGCGUGGGUAGCAAACAGGAUUAGAUACCCAGGUAGUC